rnacentral:ncRNA from 1 species
UACCUGGUUGAUCCUGCCAGUAGUCAUAUGCUUGUCUCAAAGAUUAAGCCAUGCAAGUCUAAGUACGAGCUCUCGUACAGUGAAACUGCGAAUGGCUCAUUAAAUCAGUUAUGGUUCAUUUGAUCGUACAGUUUACUUGGAUAACUGUGGUAAUUCUAGAGCUAAUACAUGCGAGAAGCGCCGACCUCGCGGGAGGCGUGCAUUUAUCAGACCAAAAACCGGCCGCGUCUUCGGGCGCGUUCGCCUUGGUGACUCUGGAUAACUUUGCGGAUCGCACGGUCUAGCACCGGCGACGGAUCAUUCAAGUGUCUGCCCUAUCAACUUUCGUCGGUACGGUAUUUGCCUACCGAGGUUCUUACGGGUGACGGGGAAUCAGGGUUCGAUUCCGGAGAGGGAGCCUGAGAAACGGUUACCACAUCCAAGGAAGGCAGCAGGCGCGCAAAUUACCCAUUCCCGACGCGGGGAGGUAGUGACGAAAAAUAACAAUGCAGGACUCGUUCGAGGCCCUGUAAUUGGAAUGAGUACACUUUAAAAGCUUUAACGAGUAUCCAUUGGAGGGCAAGUCUGGUGCCAGCAGCCGCGGUAAUUCCAGCUG